rnacentral:rRNA from 1 species
UACGAAGGGGGCUAGCGUUGCUCGGAAUCACUGGGCGUAAAGCGCACGUAGGCGGCUUUCUAAGUCAGGGGUGAAAUCCUGGAGCUCAACUCCAGAACUGCCUUUGAUACUGGGAAGCUCGAGUCCGGAAGAGGUGAGUGGAACUCCGAGUGUAGAGGUGAAAUUCGUAGAUAUUCGGAAGAACACCAGUGGCGAAGGCGGCGCACUGGUCCGGUACUGACGCUGAGGUGCGAAAGCGUGGGGAGCAAACAGG